GCUUGAGCUAGACAAUAAAACUCCUUUUGAUAAUUACAGCCUCGGUGACUCUGUCUCUCUGUCCUGCGGCCUCGUGAAUCUUGAAUAUAGCACUGUAUCUUCUUUGACGACAUGUCUGUUCAAAUUUUUUGCCCACUUGUUUUUAUCUGGUUGUUUUCCUAUUGCUGAAAUUUGAGGGCUUUUAGAUUCCAGAUACAGGACCUUUAUCAGCUGUAUGCCUUGAAAAUUUUUUUCUGCUAGUCUAUGGCUUGUUUUCUCAUUGUCUUAACCCUGUCUUUUGAAGAAGAGAAAUUUCUAAUGUUGAUGAAGUGCAAUCAAUCAAUCAGUCAGCCUCGCUAUGGACUGUGCUUUUGGGGAGGUAUCUAGGGCACCACCAUCUAACUCAAGGUCUCAGAGAUUCCUCCCUUCUGUUCUAGAAGUUUUGCAGUUUAUGCUAUUAUCUACAAUCCAUUUUGCAUUAGUUUUUACAUAUGGCCAUAGGUAUGAAUCUAAGCUUAUUUCUUUUUUUUUGGAUACUAAUGUUGUUUUAGCAUCGUUUCUUGAAAAGGUCAUUUUUUCUGCAUGGCAUUAUGUUUGCACCUUUGUCAGAAACAGUUGUCCACAUAUCCGAGGUUUGCUUAUGGACUCUGUUCAGUUUCAUCAAUGUGUUUGUCUUUCUUUAUGCCAAUACCCUGUUUUGAUGUCUACAGCUUUAUAAAAAUUCUUGAAAGUAAAUGGUAUUAUCCCUCCAAUUUUGCUCUUUUUUUUUUUUUAGAGUUGUUUUAGCUAGAUUCUCUGUAUUUUUGCAUAAAAUUUCAAAUCAGCUUGUCAAUUUCUACAAGAACCCCUGGUUGGGGUUUUGAUUGGUAUUGGAUUGAAUUUAUAGAAUAAUUGGGGAAAAUUUACAUCUUGAUAACAUUGAGUCUUCCAACCCAUCAACAAUGCAUAUAUUUCUCUUACUUAGAUCAACUUUAAUUUCUUUCAGUAAUAGUUUACAGUUUUCCUUAUACAUGUCUAUCAUAUAUAUUUUUUAAAUCAAGAUAUUUGACUUUUUGGGAGGUUCCAGGCCUAUGGCAAUGUUUUAUAAAAUGUCCCACUUUCUGGAUUUGUCUAUUUUCUCCUAAAUAAAUAUAGGUCAAAUGUAUUGGUUAGGAGUACUUCACAGGUGGUAUUAAAGGCAUCGAAGUGUCAAGAUGUCCUACGGCCUACAACGUCAAUUGUCCUACUGCUAAAUCUGAGUGUGUGGUUAAGGCGGUGACUGCCAGAGCUCACCGCGAUGAAGUGAGAGCGUACCUUCGUGACUGGAAAAUGAUCCAGGGCUGAUACACUGAGACAACAUUAUUUUGGAAAGGUAAACCAUAAAGUUUUAUUUGAUACUAUUCUUUUGCUUAUAUUCUAUAUUUCUAUAUUUUAUUUAGAGAUUUUGUUAUAUAUUUUGUUUUUAAUCUAUACUCUCUCUCGGUCAAUGGAAUUCCAAUUUUUCUCUGUAGAUUAGAAAGCGGAUGUUGCCACUUCCCUCACCCUCCCUCCUCUGAAAUAGAUGACGCUCCAGCAGGGAAUGCUCGCCUAGGCCGCGGCACCCCGUGCACGGGGUGGUCGAGCUGGCGGUGGGAACGAAUCUGAAGGAACCUGGGACGAGCUCCCAAGAGAUCCGUAUAGGGCAACAAAGUCCUCUUCUCUCACCUCUCACGGUAUUGACCAUACAAAUUCUGUUCUGGUCUCAGCGUGAUUUUUGUCACUGUGGAGCCAGCCAGGUUUUGAUCAGUUUUAUAGGUUGGUGAUAAGCUCUGAACCAACCUGUUUUGUAGGUCCUCAAUCAGCAUGAAACAAAAACAGGUGCCUCACUUACGUAAUGGUGUGUGCUGCCCGUGAACAGAUGUGCUUCUGAUAGGUGAUCGCUUGCUUUCCGGACAGAAGGUAUUAUAUUUCAUGCCUUGUGGGGAGAAUUCCUGUCUAUUGAGAGACGUAGCCCUCUGCUGGGCUUGGUGCUAUAGGACUUUGCUUUAAAACAGUGUAGCCAUUAUUGGAGUCACAAAAGAUGCGUUUAAGUGAACACUGUGCCUCCUACUUAAUCCAGUGGACACCCUUUUCUCUGAGGACGUCAUCGCCCAUAGGUAUGAAGCAUAUUUCUAUAAAAUAAUAUACGUUUCAACUUUCAGGCUACACUGUGUACCCCACUAUGCAUUGUUUCCUCAUUCCUCUGCAUCCAUGAAAACCUGAGUGAACAAGUUAUUCUGCAAAUUGUAGGGAUGCAGCCAUAUUCAUUUCAGCUCAUGGGGAAAAAUUUGCAAGAUGCAGUAAGUUCCAGCUACCUUAAGUGACAGUUUAACGUAUUUGGCUCACAUCGGAGCUGGUCUUCCGUUACUGACUUGAUAAAUAGGAAUUGCUUUCACUUUUGUAAAAAGUUUGUUUGCAGCUAUCUUAAAAUCUUCACUAAAAAUGCAAAGAAAUCUUUUGUAUAAAUAGUCUCAACAGUAUAUCUGUGUAAAAUGAUAGUGUACUCUUUCAAAAACCUUCAUGCCUUGUUAUCUUUUUACAAAUUACACAAGUAAAAAUCUGAAAUAUAUGUAAAUAAGAAAUGGAUGGGAAAUUGUUAGAAGAGUUCAGAGACUCACAUUGAACUUAUAAGUCAUGUAUUUUAUGCUAUUUGAUGAUUUCAUUGUAUUUGGUGUUUGCCAUUCCGUAGACUAUUCUAUAAACAAUGAUAUGGAUUUUCCCAAGAUACAUUAUUGCUAUUUGCAGAAUCCUUCCCCCCCAACCCCUACCAGAAAAAAAUAUUCCCUUUAAACUGCUCAUGCAGCAUUUUUACAGAGGGCAUCGUUAACUUGUUUUAUAUCAGCUAUCUCUCUAAAAAUUGACUGUGGAUCAAUUUCGGUGGAUUUCAUACAUCUCUGCCCCUGGGAACUGGUGCCGCAGCUAGCUUUCAUUAAAUGUCACGGCUGGCAUGGGCUGGAAAGAUAAGAUGAAGCAAGCCAAAAUCACUGCCAACUUUUCUCUAGGAGAAAGCCUACCCCAUAAUAGCAAUGGACCAGCCUUCAUCUUCCCAGAACUAAAUGGUGCACGUUUCAUGCAAUCAAAUGUUUGUUCUACAAAGUCAAGGGAGGAAUCCUCUACUCAAAAGAUACAUAGUGAGCAUUUAUUUAUUGGGGGGCGGGUCUUAAUAUUGUGGUUUCUAAAUUGGUUAGAAAUUUAUUGAACUUGUUUUAUAAAAUCCACCAUGAGAUCCAACAAGGAUCGAUGCUUCAGAGAUUCAUUUAGAUUUAAAAGUGUGGUUAUAUGGAUACGUACACACAUACACGUUCUUCUUUUAUGCAGCCAUAAGGAAUGCCUUUUUGAUGCCCAUGAACUUGGCAAUUAUAGAGAAACACACCACAAAUAGUGUUUUUCGUAUAAGAAUACUGGCUGGGUAAUUAUUUUACAGUUAAAGUCUUCAGUGAUCCAGCAAGAGGGGAGAGACAUACCUGGGAGCAGAAUGGUGUCUCUCUAAGCCUAACUUAGUUGCUUAGUUGGAGAACUGAGUGUUUCCUGAUCAGCCUUGUUUGCAUAUUGAGAUCAGGGCUCCUGUUCUCAUUGGCCAGGAGUGUUUCUCAAGGCCCAGCUAAGUCUCAGGUUUUCCUGAGUUUCCCAGGCAGAGAAUGGUUUUCCCUCUGCGAUCAUCACUACAAUUGUUGAUGGAACGAUUAUCUCUGCACACUGCUAAUCCCAGCCGCCACCAGUCUGUACCGUGAGGGUCUCCAGUACUUAAGUGAUUUAUUCUGAAAGCCCAACCCCUUUUAUUAAUGGCUAGCAAAGUGUUGGACACUCACUCAAUGUUUAUUUGGGGAAAAAACAUGAAUUCUAUUACAUUUUUCUCUUUGCCUCGAUGUUUUAUGACUCUGCUUUUCUUGCCUGUUAACUAAGAUAAAAUGAAAACCCUCUCUCCUCCUCCAAGAGCAUGUUGUAGCUGCUUUAAUACUUAUAUUUUUCUAUGGACUGGAUUAGGUAAAUAUAGCAACACACUUGCACAGCACAGAUGAACCCCGCCCAGAUGUGUACAUCUGGGUUUAUGUCUGAUAAUAUCCUCAUUAGAUUUCUACCCAAAGAAGUGUUGGGACAUCACAAAGGUAUGACUGAAAUAAUCACCAUUUCUUGAUUACGUUCCUUCUUCCCUCCCCCAGUUCUGUUUUCUUAACAUUUUAUUUUCUCACUUGGAGAACUGCAGUGAGAUUAGGAGGGACUCUAGGAUAGUGCUACCACUGCAACAAGGGAGUUUUGCACUCCGCAUCUGUACCGUGGGCGUCUUUCCCGUCAGAGUGGGCAGGAGACGUGGGAAACAGAGUUCACUGUCCUGAGCACAGAGUUGACAUUCUCUUGGCACUCAUGACCUGGUCAACCACAUUAGCUCGUAUGAAAACACUGUGGUUUUCUGCUGUCGAUCUCAGGAUAUCUUUAUACUUCACUCAGAGUCAAUACUUAUUCUGUUGUCAGUAAUGUAAGCGUUCAAGUGGCCAUUGCUGAUGUUUAUUUCAUUUACCAGCUCAAUUGUUAGGGAAUGACGCCCAUUUUAAGUGAUCUCAUAUUUUAGUUGAUGAUAGGAAUAUUCUGAUAUUUUUUUUAAGGCACAGUCUGGAAGCUCCUAAUUGUUUCCUUUGUUUUUCUAGGACCUCUUCUUGACCUCCUUUUGUGUGUGUGUGUGUGAAUGCUUCGCUUUUCAAAGGACAUCCCAGAGGUAGGUGGCAAUUUCCACUUUUAAGUGGAGGCACCGAGUAGCUUGAGACUCAGGUAUAAAUGACUGCUCACGUCUGGAGAGAUGGUGUUGAAACUCCCUGCCACCAGGUACAAAAAUCACACCACCUGCUUGUUCUCUGUCUGUUACAGCAUACUUUGCAUGUUCUAGGGAAUGCACAUUUAAUUACAAACACAUGGGAUUUAAUUAAUGGGUCACAUCACAACCACAUCUAGAGUUAGAAGGCCACCAGACGAUAGCUCUUCAAGUUGCUAUCAUAUGCCAAGCCCUAUGCCAGGUGCUUUUACAUUUAUUAUCAUCACUUUAAACCAACUGCAGUGAUGUCAUCAUUCUCAUAUUGUGGGGUGGUAUAUACAAGGAUAUGAUCACAUGGGCCCCAGAUCUGCUCAUUGAAUGAUAAAUCAAUGCAUUAUUUUUGUAUUUUUCCACAUCUAAAACUUCUGGAGAGGGCAAGGAUGACCAGAUUUCUGUUUAGGGUGAGAAGGCAUUUCCCCAUGGUGCUCUGGGGAAGCAGAAUGUCAUCGUGGUUUCCUUCUCGUCACGAAACCCUCAGUGUCUGGCAGCCUACUCGGAUGCCCCUGUGGCCGAAGGGUCGCAACUGGUCAUGAGCUUGUCAUCAGCCAGACUCGUUUGUUCCAGUGGAUCAGUUUGCAGAACUAGAGACAACUGUGAGGAGGGACCUCGUGUAAGAAGUCUCGAGGCCCCUUCAUUCAUAAACAAGACAAAGGGCGGUACAGAUAGCCCUUCGGAGUGGCGACACUAAUCACCGAGACAGCACAGGGCUAAAGGUGCCACCCACCGGAUGCGGAAGUGAUCGGGGAGGCCCGUUCUGGCCAUUUGCAAAGACGUUCGUGCGGGGCUUACCAUGCAACUGCAUGAGCUCGGAGAAAGGGACCAGAAAUGAGCAGUGCAGAGGACACGGGGAGAGGCCCUCAGGCAUCAUCUUGUGCCACGUCCUGCUGCUUCAGGAAUUUUAGCUCGUGGACUUCAAACCCUUGGUUUGAGAAAACGUAUAACCACCACCAAGCUUGGACCCCUCUGAGCCCACCGGCCGACCCUGGGGAGGAUCCAGGCGUGCCAUGACCCCCACUGGGGCCACUCUCCUCCAGAAGGGACUCCUCGAACCCACCGGACACAGAAAGAGCACGUGGAACCAGAAACGGCCAACUGAACCGCGGUAAGAUGGUCCCAGGCCUCACCCCAGGGUCAGACCGUCCUGGGACGAAGGCUGGACGCCUUCUAGGGUGGAAGACGACUGUCAGCUCCUGGGGACCCUACAGCACACCCUGAGAGGGGCAGACAGGCGUCUCCAGAGUCUCUGUGAGUUAGCUUGGAGUAGGGUGGCCCUGGGGCAGGAACUCUAGACGUUCUGCUCUCUGAGCUGUCUGGAACUGGACACCCCGAUCAGGGCCCUUAUACAGAUUCUUGGCUGGAAAUUGCUCAGCGCCUGCCCCCCUGCCACCACCAGCACCCCCUCCCGAGGCCUGGUGACACCGCAGAAGCGCCUCCGGCAGCUCACGUGAGGUCGGAAGCCGACCCAGCUCACGCUGGGGCAGGACCCCAGCCCUUCUCUACCACCGGUCUCUUGCAGGGGAAGUAGCACCCUCCUUCACACUCAGGGAAAACGGCCGCGCCCCCUCUCCACGGGCCGGCCUUGCAUGCUGACGCCCGCGGCCAGGCCUGCGCUCAGCCACGCGAUCUUGAUUGGGUGCUUUUGAGUCCUGCCAAGGGCAUAAAAACGGGAGGACAACAAGGAAGGGGUCAGAAGGUGGCUGAGCCUGCUGGAGGAAUAAGGGCUGUUCUCCGCCUCUUCGGCUGCCGCUCGGUUCUUCCCCGGUCCAGGGCGUGACACAGCUGUGCGCCUUGCAGCAACACGAGGCCAGGAUCGACCUGCUGCAGAGCAUCUGCUGGACCCAUCAACCCCCUUGAGGGGGCCGUCAGCAGCUCUCCCGACCUGCUCAACACGGCCCGAGUCGUAGCAGGUGGCGUGGGCCCAGCCUAAGUUCCAGACGCUGUGCCUGCUUGGGACUCUGACACUCCAGAAGGAUGAGGGGCGCCCACCGAGAAGCCCUCCUGGAUGGGGCCGAGAAGGAGCAAGGAAGCCCACUGACACGAACACAGUGGCUGUGGUCGCCCAAAAGGCCGACGAAACUCCCAGUGAUUUCUACGAAUGUCUGUGCGAGUCCUACCGAAUUUACAACCCCCUUUGAUCCCGAAACCCCAGAAAAUCAGCGAACGGUGAACGCUGCCUUCAUGGCUCAGGCAUGUCCAGACAUACAACACGCUGGAGAAAGAAGCUAGAUGCAUUUGCUGGUAUAAAUGUCACCCCGUUAAUGGAAGUGGCUCAAAACCAGGACUGUGGGGCCCAGAGGCCUUGCUCCUGCAUCCCUGCCGGGACACGGAUGGAAAGUCAGGCUGCACAAACAAGAGACCUGUGUGCUUUCUGCAAGCAAACUGGACAAAUGAAUGUCUACACCGGCAACUUCAAAAUAGCUCUUGGAAGGGCUGCAGCCAUAGUGGAGUGGGAACGCAGCUCAUAUCCCAUCUCUGGAGAAGCGCGGCAGGGGAUCCAAGCUCCCCUAGACAGACUUCUGCAGGAAGGCAUCCUCAGAGAGUGCCAGUCCCCAUGGAACACCCCUACUCCCAGCGAAGAAGCCUGAUAGGACUCCACGGGCUGUAAACGAAGCCACCCCUGUCGCCCUCCGUCCAGCAGUGCCCGCCCUACACGCUCCUGAGCCCCGUCCCGUGGUUCAGUUGCCUGGACCCAAGAGACGCUUUCUUCUGCACCUGGGUGGCACCGGCGAGCCAGCCCCUCUGUGCUUUCGACUGGGAAGACGCAGCUCCUCUGGACCAGGCUGCCACGAGGUUUCCAGAACUCCCCGGGGAUCUCUCGGGAAGCACUGGGCGCAGGUCUAGACUCGUCCCCGCGGGGCAGCUCCGCUGCACUCUACUGCAGUAGGCGGAUGACGUCCUCCUGGCGCACAACCCAAGGGGAGUGCACGGUAACGACGGGAAACUCGCCGACAGGCCGUCACACCCCUGGGUCUUAAAAUCACCGAAGGAAGAAGACAGCCCGGGCAGGACGAGUGCAUGCAACCUGCUCCCUCCAAAGACCAAGCACGCGGCAGGAGUCCCUAGGAGCGGCGGGAUCCUGCUGAACAUGGAGACGGGGCUUCGCACCGAUGGCCAGACCUCCCUGUGAGGCCCUGCGGGGCCUCAGACUCGGGAGCCGCAGUGGGGAUCAGAGCGGGAAGACGCCCUGCGAGACCUGCAGAAUCAGCUACAUGGCUCCUGGGCUCACACUAAAGACUUAACCUGUUUGUUGACGAAUAUGACCACGGGACUCGGGCAAAGCCUGGUGGCCUCAGGAGGGCCCUCCUGUUAAGGGCAGUGACGGCGGCAAUGGGCCGCCUUCGCAAAGAAGCUGAAAAGUUCACACCCCACGCACGGCAUCCAACUCCUCGACAACUCACGGCACUGGUGGCCUCUAGCAGCCGGUCAGCGCAGCAUCAAGGGCUCCUCUGUGAUAGCCCACAGAUGAGGCAGAGCGGGCCUUGCCCCCCGCCACCCUCCUGCCCAUCGACCCAGGACCCCCAGAGCAUGAGUGCCUUGAGCUGAUAGAGGAAGUCUACGCCAGCCGGCCAGGACUAAGGGAUACUCCCCGGGCAAAUCCAGAAGUGGAGCUGUUUACAGAUGGCAGCAGUCACGUCCAGGACGGACAAUGGAAGGCAGGAUAUGCAGUCCCAACCAAAGACAAGGGGGUCUUAGCCGAGCCCCUGCCUGCUGGGGGGGGCGCCGCUCAGCAGAGUUAGGGGCCCUAAUCCAGGCACUGAGACGCGCAGAGGGAAAGGAGCAAAUAUGUACACAGAUUGCCACUAUGCGAGGAGCAGCCGGCACGUACGUGGGGCCCUCUGUCAAGGAGGGGGACUCUAGGAGGAAAGGAAGAGAGUUUACCGCUGUUGGAUGUGGGCUAGGAGCCUCAAGAAAUAGCUGCGUCACAGCGUCACAGACACCAGGGAGGAACAGACCCAGAGUCACCCUCGGAAAUCAGUGGGCAGACAGAACUGUAGCAAAGGCUACAGUGGCACAAGGGCCACAGACACAGGGCACAAGGCGCCAGGCUGGUAAAAUUCCCCUAGCACCAGAAGGGCCCAGACGUGCACGGCACAGCCCAGCGUGUGCAAAGAGAGAGCGGUGCGAACAGACCGAGGCAGGGUGGCGGAGUCCGCCCGGUGGCUGGGUCUCCGUGCGAGAGAGUGAGGCUGGCCAGCACAGUCCUCCCCCACCUGCUUGGCCGUUGCAUCCCUAAGCUUCCGUCCAUGGCACCAACCGUCCGUGCCACAAAUAGUGCAGCCCAGGCUGGCCACAGGCAGCCAGAGCAUCUCCCGUUGAAGAUACAGAAGGGGGCUUUUUUGAGCUAAGGAGUGAAAUACCUGUUAGUGACGACCUGCACCCACCCGGGAGGGGUCAUGGACGACCUGUGCCCGCCCGGGAGGGGUGGAGGCAUCCCCGCCCGAACUGAAAGGGGAAGGGGAGUGGUAAAGGUGCUCCUAAGGGAAGUUCUGCCCUGCCACAGGCUGCCACUCUCAAGAGGCAACGACGGCAGGCCGAGCUUCACGGCAGACUUUAGCAAAGCAUUAGGGAUUGAGUGGAAGCUCCAUACGGCAUGUAGCCCCCAAAGCUCAGGGAAAGUACUGCACAUGAACUGGUAAGAUGUGCAACGUGUGGGGGAUGGACACCUCUUAUUCAAGGGGGGGGCAUGGGCAAGAUACGUAACUUUAACACUUGUACCCCCAUGAUACGCUAAAAUAAUUUUAAAAAAACAAAAAAACACCCUCGCAAUGAAGUGCCAGGAAACCGGGCCACCCUGCGUGGCCUCACUCAGAGUCACAUGUUCCCUGGGGCUGUCAGGAUAUUCACCCUUUGCGACUCUCUACGGAAGGCUCCCACCCAUAAUCAGGCUG